GGCUGGUUUGAAUGCAGCGGUGUUUACAAAUAAUUAGUCACAACCAGUUACAGAUUUCUUUGUUCCUCUCCACGCACACUACUUCACUUGGCCAGACUUGA
ensembl:misc_RNA Y_RNA Y RNA